UACGUAGGGUGCAAGCGUUAUCCGGAAUUAUUGGGCGUAAAGAGCUCGUAGGCGGUUUGUCGCGUCUGCUGUGAAAACCGGAGGCUCAACCUCCGGCCUGCAGUGGGUACGGGCAAACUAGAGUGCGGUAGGGGAGAUUGGAAUUCCUGGUGUAGCGGUGGAAUGCGCAGAUAUCGGGAAGAACACCCCGGGCGAAGGCGGCUCUCUGGGACGGUACUGACGCUGAGACCCGAAAGCGUGGGGAGCGAACAGG
rnacentral:rRNA from 1 species